rnacentral:rRNA from 1 species
UACAGAGGGUGCAAGCGUUAAUCGGAAUUACUGGGCGUAAAGCGCACGUAGGCGGUUUUUUAAGUCAGAUGUGAAAGCCCCGGGCUCAACCUGGGAAUUGCAUUUGAAACUGGGGAACUAGAGUGUGUGAGAGGGGGGUAGAAUUCCAAGUGUAGCGGUGAAAUGCGUAGAGAUUUGGAGGAAUACCAGUGGCGAAGGCGGCCCCCUGGCACAAUACUGACGCUGAGGUGCGAAAGCGUGGGGAGCAAACAGG